rnacentral:rRNA from 1 species
GACGAACGCUGGCGGCGUGCUUAACACAUGCAAGUCGAACGGAAAGGCCCUGCUUUUGUGGGGUGCUCGAGUGGCGAACGGGUGAGUAACACGUGAGUAACCUGCCCUUGACUUUGGGAUAACUUCAGGAAACUGGGGCUAAUACCGGAUAGGAGCUCCUGCUGCAUGGUGGGGGUUGGACAGUUUCGGCGGUUGGGGAUGGACUCGCGGCUUAUCAGCUUGUUGGUGGGGUAGUGGCUUACCAAGGCUUUGACGGGUAGCCGGCCUGAGAGGGUGACCGGCCACAUUGGGACUGAGAGACGGCCCAGACUCCUACGGGAGGCAGCAGGGGGGAAUAUUGCACAAUGGGCGGAAGCCUGAUGCAGCAACGCCGCGUGCGGGAUGACGGCCUUCGGGUUGUAAACCGCUUUCGCCUGUGACGAAGCGUGAGUGACGGUAAUGGGUAAAGAAGCACCGGCUAACUACGUG